rnacentral:rRNA from 1 species
AUUGAACGCUGGCGGCAGGCCUAACACAUGCAAGUCGAGCGCGCGGCGGACGGGAGAGUAAUGUCUGGGAACCUCCCUGAUGGGGGGGGAUAACUACUGGAAACGGUGGCAAAUACGCCAUACCUUCCACUGUGCACAGGUGGGAUUAGCUAGUAGGUGGGGUAAGGGCUCACCUAGGCGACGAUCCCUAGCUGGUCUGCGAGGAUGAACAGCCACAUUGGAACUGAGACACGGCCCAGACUCCUACGGGAGGCAGCAGUGGGGAAUAUUGCACAAUGGGCGCAAGCCUGAUGUAGCCAUGCCGCGUGUGUGAAGAAGGCUUUCGGGUUGUAAAGCACUUUCAGCGAGGAGGCGUUACCUGCAGAAGAAGCACCGGCUAACUACGUGCCAGCAGCCGCGGUAAUAC